rnacentral:rRNA from 1 species
UACAGAGGUCUCAAGCGUUGUUCCGAUUCAUUGGGCGUAAAGGGUGCGUAGGCGGCGCGGUAAGUCGGGUGUGAAAUCUCGGAGCUUAACUCCGAAACUGCAUUCGAUACUGCCGUGCUUGAGGACUGGAGAGGAGACUGGAAUUUACGGUGUAGCGGUGAAAUGCGUAGAUAUCGUAAGGAAGACCAGUGGCGAAGGCGGGUCUCUGGACAGUUCCUGACGCUGAGGCACGAAGGUCAGGGGAGCAAACGGG